CCCGCCGGAGGACCAACCAAAACUCUUAUUGUAUACCCCCUCGCGGGUUUUUUACUAUCUGAGCCAUCUCGGCGCCCCUCGUGGGCGUUUCGAAAAUGAAUCAAAACUUUCAACAACGGAUCUCUUGGUUCUGGCAUCGAUGAAGAACGCAGCGAAAUGCGAUAAGUAAUGUGAAUUGCAGAAUUCAGUGAAUCAUCGAAUCUUUGAACGCACAUUGCGCCCGCCAGUAUUCUGGCGGGCAUGCCUGUCCGAGCGUCAUUUCAACCCUCGAACCCCUCCGGGGGGUCGGCGUUGGGGAUCGGCCCUUUACGGGGCCGGCCCCGAAAUACAGUGGCGGUCUCGCCGCAGCCUCUCCUGCGCAGUAGUUUGCACACUCGCAUCGGGAGCGCGGCGCGUCCACAGCCGUUAAACACCCCAAACUUCUGAAAUGUUGACCUCGGAUCAGGUAGGAAUACCCGCUGAACUUAAGCAUAUCAAUAAGCGGAGGAA
rnacentral:rRNA from 1 species